rnacentral:rRNA from 1 species
GUGGGGAAUAUUGCGCAAUGGGCGGAAGCCUGACGCAGCGACGCCGCGUGGGGGAUGACGGCCUUCGGGUUGUAAACCUCUUUCGACCUUGACGAAGCCUUUCGGGGUGACGGUAGGGGUAGAAGAAGCACCGGCCAACUACGUGCCAGCAGCCGCGGUAAUACGUAGGGUGCGAGCGUUGUCCGGAAUUAUUGGGCGUAAAGAGCUCGUAGGCGGUCUGUCGCGUCGGUCGUGAAAACUUGGGGCUUAACCCUGAGCUUGCGGUCGAUACGGGCAUGACUGGAGUUCGGCAGGGGAGACUGGAAUUCCUGGUGUAGCGGUGAAAUGCGCAGAUAUCAGGAGGAACACCGGUGGCGAAGGCGGGUCUCUGGGCCGAUACUGACGCUGAGGAGCGAAAGCGUGGGGAGCGAACAGGAUUAGAAACCCUUGUAGUCC